rnacentral:rRNA from 1 species
ACUUAUUGCAAUAAGGUCACACCCGUUCCCAUUCCGAACACGGAAGUUAAGCUUAUUUGCGCUGACAAUACUUGGCUGGUGACGGCCUGGGAAAAUAAGUCGGUGCCG